rnacentral:tRNA from 1 species
GCCGCUAAUCCGGCUGGAUGAGGAAACCGCCUUGAAAGCGGCUGGCUGUAAAAGGCUUUGGGGUUCGAGUCCCUAUGGCGGCG